rnacentral:rRNA from 1 species
GCUUUACAUAAUUUUUGUUUUUAUAGAUUUAUAAGUUUAAUUGUGAAAAAAAUAAAUUGUGUUUUGUUGGGGUGACAAGGGUAUAAUUUUUGGUAACUGCUUUAUUUUUAAAUACAUUAAUAUAUGGUUGUUUUGAUCCUUAAUAAAGAUUAAUAGAAUAAGUU